rnacentral:rRNA from 1 species
GGAAACCUUGUUACGACUUCUCCUUCCUCUAGAUGAUAAGGUUCGCGAGACUUUCCCUCGUAAAGCCGAAAAUCGACAAUGCGAAAGUCCGAAUAGCUCACCGGAUCAUCCAAUCGGUAGGAGCGAC